rnacentral:lncRNA from 1 species
CUGCACCGGCCCGGCUCUGGCUCAAGGCUUCUCUGUCUGCUCGGCAGGACCGCCUCAGGGUGGCAAGGGGCCGGCAGGGCUGGGUGAGGGGCCAGGACUCCCAGCCUGCCUUGCCAAGGGCUGGCUGGUGCCAAGCCUGGGUCAGACACGGCCAAGGCCAGACUGGGCGGGGGCUGGUGCUGGGCUCUGUCCAGGCCGCCAAGGGCAGGCAGGCGGGCCAUGGCCGCCCUCCCUCCCAGGCCUCUCCAAGGCCGCGGCCACCUCAGCUACAAAAUGGCGGCAGGCCGGGCGGCCAUUUUGCAGAGCGCUUGGAAGACAAAGGCCGCUGCGGGCGGGAGCGGCUAUGGGGCCAGGAGGAGGAGGAGCCACUGGAAAAGCAGCACAGUGCCCGCCCCGUGCAUGGGCCCAGAGAUAGGCAGGUGGGCCUUUUCUGGAACCUUCUUCCGCCCAGGCUCCCAGCGGCCGGGGCUUCUAGAGACCUUGUCGUCCCAUCUAAGGGUCUUGCAGUGGCCCCGGGGGACUGGGGCCUGCCUGGGGCACCGAAGCCCUCCCAUCUUGCAGCCCAGGUGGCCUAGCCUGAGGCACGACCUCUGGGGGAGGUGGCAAGGGCCUACUGAGCCUGGGCUCCCGGAUUCAAAACCUUCCUUUGCCCCCAGACCCAGGGAGGGCUGCUCCUCAUUUAUCCGAGGUUGGAGUGGUCCCCAGACAGGCGGCUCGAGGGCCUGGCCUGAACUCCAGGGACCACUGUGCCAUGAAGCAGCUGCCAUGGGAAUGCUAGGGAACCUGCUCCAGGGAUGGGAGGCUGCUCCCCCCUCCACCUUCCACAGCACCCACCCCACAGCCUGGAAUUUUUGGGGCCCUGCCGACAAGGGUGGGGGGUGGGGCCCACUCGGCCCCUCCUGGAGCCCUGCCCCAGCCACUUCCCAAACAAGCUCCGAGCCCCGUCCUGCUCAUCUGUCUGGUGACCGUCUGUCCACUCCCUUCUUGUGUCCCCUUCUCCGGCCUCCUCUGGACAAGAGGCACAGGCCCCACUGCCUCCAACAAACACUCGCUGGAGGCAGAGUAGAGCCUGGCAGGCAGCACCCCCAGAUCCGACAGACGGACAGCCCCAGGGUGCCACAGGGAUGCCUUCCUGCCCCCGCCCAGCAGUGGUCUCC